UGGACUCCCUGGCAGGCCACAGUAAUGGCCACGACUCUGCUCCACUUCCUGCGACGGAUUUCGCAUGGCUCCACCACUCUCUGACAAGUCACGACAAUGGACACUGCUCCACUCUCCGCAACAGGCUCCACGUGGCAGGCCACGGUGAUGCCACGACUCCACUCCGCUAUUCUUCAUAACAAACUCCUCCUGGCCCCAAACGGCCCACUACUAGACGAUUACAAACAUCGCUAUCAGUCUGUUGCACCCUUCACCUAUAAAAAGGGGACCCCAGAUACGUUGUUC
rnacentral:lncRNA from 1 species